rnacentral:rRNA from 1 species
CCUGGCUCAGGAUGAACGCUAGCUACAGGCUUAACACAUGCAAGUCGGGGGGCAGCAUUUCAGUUUGCUUGCAAACUGGAGAUGGCGACCGGCGCACGGGUGAGUAACACGUAUCCAACCUGCCGAUAACUCGGGGAUAGCCUUUCGAAAGAAAGAUUAAUACCCGAUGGUAUAAUCAGACCGCAUGGUCUUGUUAUUAAAGAAUUUCGGUUAUCGAUGGGGAUGCGUUCCAUUAGGCAGUUGGUGAGGUAACGGCUCACCAAACCUUCGAUGGAUAGGGGUUCUGAGAGGAAGGUCCCCCACAUUGGAACUGAGACACGGUCCAAACUCCUACGGGAGGCAGCAGUGAGGAAUAUUGGUCAAUGGGCGCAGGCCUGAACCAGCCAAGUAGCGUGAAGGAUGACUGCCCUAUGGGUUGUAAACUUCUUUUAUAUGGGAAUAAAGUUUUCCACGUGUGGAAUUUUGUAUGUACCAUAUGAAUAAGGAUCGGCUAACUCCGUGCCAGCAGCCGCGGUAAUACGGAGGAUCCGAGCGUUAUCCGGAUUUAUUGGGUUUAAAGGGAGCGUAGGUGGACAGUUAAGUCAGUUGUGAAAGUUUGCGGCUCAACCGUAAAAUUGCAGUUGAUACUGGCUGUCUUGAGUACAGUAGAGGUGGGCGGAAUUCGUGGUGUAGCGGUGAAAUGCUUAGAUAUCACGAAGAACUCCGAUUGCGAAGGCAGCUCACUGGACUGCAACUGACACUGAUGCUCGAAAGUGUGGGUAUCAAACAGGAUUAGAUACCCUGGUAGUCCACACAGUAAACGAUGAAUACUCGCUGUUUGCGAUAUACAGUAAGCGGCCAAGCGAAAGCAUUAAGUAUUCCACCUGGGGAGUACGCCGGCAACGGUGAAACUCAAAGGAAUUGACGGGGGCCCGCACAAGCGGAGGAACAUGUGGUUUAAUUCGAUGAUACGCGAGGAACCUUACCCGGGCUUAAAUUGCAUUUGAAUAUAUUGGAAACAGUAUAGCCGUAAGGCAAAUGUGAAGGUGCUGCAUGGUUGUCGUCAGCUCGUGCCGUGAGGUGUCGGCUUAAGUGCCAUAACGAGCGCAACCCUUAUCUUUAGUUACUAACAGGUCAUGCUGAGGACUCUAGAGAGACUGCCGUCGUAAGAUGUGAGGAAGGUGGGGAUGACGUCAAAUCAGCACGGCCCUUACGUCCGGGGCUACACACGUGUUACAAUGGGGGGUACAGAAGGCAGCUACCUGGUGACAGGAUGCUAAUCCCAAAAGCCUCUCUCAGUUCGGAUCGAAGUCUGCAACCCGACUUCGUGAAGCUGGAUUCGCUAGUAAUCGCGCAUCAGCCAUGGCGCGGUGAAUACGUUCCCGGGCCUUGUACACACCGCCC